rnacentral:rRNA from 1 species
UGGGGAAUAUUGGACAAUGGGCGCAAGCCUGAUCCAGCCAUGCCGCGUGGGUGAAGAAGGCCUUCGGGUUGUAAACUGCUUUUGUACGGAACGAAAAGCCCUUCUCUAAUACAGAGGGGUCAUGACGGUACCGUAAGAAUAAGCACCGGCUAACUACGUGCCAGCAGCCGCGGUAAUACGUAGGGUGCAAGCGUUAAUCGGAAUUACUGGGCGUAAAGCGUGCGCAGGCGGUUUUGUAAGACAGAGGUGAAAUCCCCGGGCUCAACCUGGGAACUGCAUUUGUGACUGCAAGGCUAGAGUACGGUAGAGGGGGAUGGAAUUCCGCGUGUAGCAGUGAAAUGCGUAGAUAUGCGGAGGAACACCGAUGGCGAAGGCAAUCCCCUGGACCUGUACUGACUCUCAUGCACGAAAGCUUGUGGAGCAAACA